AGAGGGAACACAAGGAGGGGGAGUGAGAGAGGGAGAAGCAGGCCUCCCACCGAGCAGGGAGCCCGAUGUGGGGCUCUAUCCCAGGACCCUGGGAUCAUGACCUGAGCCAAAGGCAGACGUUUAAUGACUGAGCCACCCAGGCGCUCCAGGACAUGUUUAAAAGGCAAACCAGUUAGGGGGAAUUAUUAGAUUCUAAAAACAGUUUGAGAACCAUUGCCCUAGCAUCUUCUAGGCUUCAGGUUUAAAGAAAUGCUCGAAGGGCCUCAUUCAGCCACUGGCUCUGAAGAUAUCCAAGGCAGAAAUGGAUGAGUUAGAGGAGGAGAGCAAUGGCAAGUGGUGACAGAGGAACCUGGAGAACCAGCCAAGGGUAGAGGAAAAAUUUUUCCUCCCCAACAGCUGGCACAGUUGGCAGGAUGAACGACUAGCGGGACACUUCUUGCUUUGAGGCUCUGCUGCAGCAGAGAGAGCCUGGGAUCUCUGAUCAGCAUCAGCAGAAGAGACAUGGCGAGAGAGGGAACACAAACAGGGAGAGUGGGAGAGGGAGAAGCAGGCUUCCUGCGGAGAAGGGAGCCCGAUGCGGGACUCGAUCGGAUCAAUGGAUAAAGAGAUCAUGACCUGAGUCGAAGGCAGAGGCUUAACGACUGAGCCACCCAGGCGCCCGGAUCCUGAAUUUUUCUAGUUUCCUCCAAUAUUUGGCUCAACUCUCCAAACUAAUGUUUCCAGCUUUCCUCCCACCCUCUGACAUGGAAUCCUUGAGAACUAAAACUGCCAUUUUUCUGAAGCCACGCAAGCUACAGUUGGACAAUUUGAUAUAAACUUCAUAGAAAUCACCACAACAGCUCAUGUAUGGACCAUCAGGCCUGUUGCGGUGUGGCUCCUCAGUGAUAUCACCAAUGACAUUCAAGCUACAAACAAGAAAAAUCUGCGAGAUUGUCUCUGCCUGAAAAUACUUUGAGCCGACACCUAGGAAUCUUCCAGUCUCACUGCCUUUGGAAUUCAGAAACAGGGAUUAUAAUCUGCUCCAAUCAUUAAUCCUGUUUUUCUUUUGUUUCCAUAGAAAUGCCUCUUGUACCACAGCCCUAACUUUGGGAGCCCACCUGAAUCACCACCUCCUGAAAUGAGAUACAACUGUUUAACUGAAUUGACCUAUUCUCAGUAUUAAGAGAAUGGUUCAGUGAGAUGGAGCAAUUUACCAACUCAAUUUUAGGAUUGUGAAACUUCUUGGGGAAAUUUCCAAGGUGGGACUGAGGCGAGGGACAAACUAUGUGACUCCAAAACAUGCCCUUUUGGCUUGUGGGUUAUUUUGAGUUGAAGGUAGACUCACGAAAAACUUUUAUUUCUCCCAAAUCACCUAAAGAAUUUAGAUAGGCGAGCUGACCCAGAAAGACAGCCGUAACCAGAGAUCAACUUUUAUUUGAAAGACCUAUCUAUAUGGCAGGGCAAACAUCUAAUUACCAAACAUUUGUUCUUCUUAUUGUCCUGUCACCCUCCUUCCCUUUGAAGCCCUAGGCCCCUAUCGCAUUCCUUAGUUCAGGAUGGCAUAAAAACCUCAACUGAUGGGCUUCUGUAUGUAUGUAAUUGAAUGUUUUUCUCCUGUUAAUCUGUUUUUUUUUUUUAAGAUCUUAUUUAUUUAUUUGACAGAGAGAGAGAGCUCACAAGUAGGCAGACAGGCAGGCAAAGGGAGAGAGGGAGAAGGAGGCUCCCCGCCGAGGAGGGAGCCCAAUGUGGGGCUUGAUCCCAGGACCCUGGGAUCAUGACCUGAGCCGAAGGCAGACGCUUAACUGACUGAGCCUCCCAGGUGCCCCUCCUGUUAAUCUGUUUUAUAUCAAUUUACCAGCCAAAGAACCUAGAAGGGUAGAAUAUAAGUUCUUCCUCCCAACACAUGCAAUAUUUGUUCUUUCAUCCUUUUGGCUUAUUUUGCUUAGUGUACUUCCCUCAAGUUCAUCAGUGUUGUAGCAUGUGUUAGAAUUUCCUUCCUUUUUAAGGAUGAGUUAUCUUUUAUAAUAUUGUAUGCAUACACUAAAUUUUAUCUAUUCAUUCACUGAUGGACAUUUGGGUCCAUCAUUUGGGCCACCUUUUGGCUCUUGUGAAUAAUACUGCUAUGAACAUUGGUAUACAAAUAAGUGUUUGAAUACCUACAUUCAAUUCUUUGGAAAUAUACCCAUAAGUGGAAUUGCUGAAUCAUAUGGUAAUUCUAUGUUUAAAUUUGAUGAAGUCCCAGUUUGUUGUCUAUGCCUUUUGUUUCAUAUUCACAAAAUCACCGUUGAAUCCAUUGCCAAAACUUUUUGCCCUAUUUUCUCUUAAGAGUUUUAUCGUUUUACCUCAUACAUUUAAGACUUUGAUCCACAGUAUAUAAGCUUUAUAACUUGUUAAAUUAGUGAUCUUCAAAAAAUAUAAACCCAGGGGUGCCUGGGUGGCUCAGUCAGUUAAGUGUCUGCCUUCAGCUGGGGUCAUGAUCCAGGGGUCCUGGGAUGGAGCCCCGCAUCGGGCUCCCGGCUUAGCAGGGGAGCUUACUUCUCCCUCUCCCUGUGCCGCUCUCCCUGCUUGUGCUCUCUCAUCCUCUCUCUCAAAUAAAUAAAUAAAAUCUUUCAAAAAAAUAAAAAUACCGUAGCCUGCAGGGCUCUACAUGAUCUGGUUUACACUUUUCUGAUUUCAACAAAUUCUAGCAACAUUGCCCACACCAUGCUAUUUCUCAAACAUGCCAAACACAUUCCCAACUCAAAGCAUUUAUACUUGCUAUUCCUUCUUUCAGAAGCACACUGCCUUCAUAUCUCUGAUUAUUCAUCCCCUUCUCAAUGAGGUCUUUCCUGAGCACCUUAUCUAAAGUGCCAUUUUCAUCUCUAUCCCAUUACCCUGCUUUUUUUUCUUAUUAGCAUUUGUCAUUGCCUAACAUGUUAUUUGUUUUUUCCUCGUGUCCCCCAAAGAGAAUAUAAACUUUAGGAAGGCAAAGAUCUUGGCCUCCUUCUUACUGUAACAGGAUCCUCAAAUUUUUACCUGAAUACACAGAUGCUCAGAAUAAAGGCACUCAGUGGUGGCCAAUGGGUGAAAAACUUCUAGGUCAUAUCCUUAAAAAUAAGGAGCUCCUUCUCUCUCUCCCCACUUUCCACUGGCUAGAAUUGGAUGUGGUGGCAACCAGCUGUAGACUAUUUAGAUGAUGACAACUCCUUAGAGAUGACAAAGCAACAAGACUGAUGGAACCUAGGUACCUAUUGAUUUCUUGAAUCAAAGCUGUUAAAAGGGGCACCUGGGUUGCUAGUUGGUUGGGCAUCUGCCUUCUGCUCAGGUCAUGAUCUCCGGAUCCUGGGAUCGAGCCCCACAUCGGGCUUCCUGCUCAGCAGGGAGUCUGCUUCUCUCUUUCCCUCUCUCUUUCUCACUCUGCCCCUCCCACUGCGUGUUCUCUGUCUCUCUGCCUCUCAAAUAAAUAAAUGAAAUUAAAAAAAAAAGCUGUUGAAAAAGCUUGGACUUUUCUUUUUUUGAGAAAGAGCACACUUUAUUUGAAAGAGAGCAUUGCACAUGACCAAAAGAUGAAGGCAGCCCAAAGGGCAUCCUACACAUGUUCUAAAAGAUACAAAGGAUGAUAGGUAAAGAGGAUUAAGAGUACACUUAAUAUGAUGAGCACUGAGUAAUGUAUAGAAUUAUUGAAUCACUAUAUCAUAGUCCUGAAACUAAUAUAACACUGUAUGUUAAUUAUACUUGAAUAAAAAACAUUUUUAAAGAUACAUAGGAUGUUUUGCUAAGAAAGGUCAACUGGAAUAUGUAUUUCUUUGGGACACCUCCCCAA